rnacentral:rRNA from 1 species
UACGGAGGGUGCAAGCGUUGUCCGGAUUUACUGGGCGUAAAGCGUUUCGCAGGUCGUUAUGUAAGUCGUGCUUCAAAGCCCGGGGCUCAACCCCGGACCGGGGUGCGAUACUGCAUGACUUGAAGAAUAUCGGGGUUACUGGAACUGUCGGUGUAGGGGUGAAAUCCGUUGAUAUCGACAGGAACUCCAAGGGCGAAGGCAGGUAACUAGGUAUUUCUUGACACUCAGGAACGAAAGCUAGGGUAGCGAAAGGG